AGAAAUCUGACCACUUACGUUACUGUGAACAUGAUAUAGAGAGUGUGGGUCAAGAUAGUCAAUGCCCGUGCAGAAUGCAAUGUGGGAAUGUAUUACAGCUGACACUGCCAAGUGAUUGUUGAUUUCUGCAGCUGAUGCAGGUUGACCUCUCUCAAGAAUAAUUUUUAAAGUAUGUCACUUGCUCCUCUCUUUCUUUCUCUGUCUGACUUUCUGUCUCUGCUUCUCUGUCUCUCUCUGCCUCUCUGUCUCUCUUUCUCUGUCUGUCUCUUUCUUUCUGUCUCUGUUUCUCUGUCUCUCUUCCCCUCUCUCUGUCUCUCUGUCUCUCUGUCUCUGCCUGUUUCUCUGUGCCUCAUUGUCUCUCUCUGUCUCUGUCUCUGUGUGUGUGUGUGUGUGUGUGUGUGUGUGUGUGUGUAGGUGUGUGUGUCUUCCUCUCUCCUUUUCUCUCUCUUUUCCUUCAGGAAUCAAUUGGUAGAAAUCACUAUUCAUAUGCCAGUUUACUGUAUUGACCUAAGAAUGAAGGAAGCCACCCUCUCGAUCCCCAGUCAGCGUGGCGUCCUCUCAGCAACCCGCUCCUGGUCUUGCUUUGACUCCUGUGCUCCCGGGCUGCCGAGAACACGUCUGGAGCUUUUAAAUCAGGCUUUUAGGUUCAUCUCUGUGAAUAAUCAUCACAAAUAUUUACUGAGCAUCCUUCAUCUCCUGGAAGCCUCGUGGAUUAUCUUGCUGAAUCCUCACCACAGCAGCCCGCUGAGGGAGGUGCUAUCAUCGUCCCUGUUUUUCAAGGGAGAGAAUCAAGGUUUGGGCAGGGACAAGGUCUUGCUAUGUUGCCCAAGCUGAUCUUGAACUCCUGGCCUCAAGCAAUCCCAAUAGUUCGGUCUCCCAAAUUGCUGAGAUUGUGGGUACAAGCCACUGCACCUGGACUUCUUCUGACAUUAUAAAGCAAAGAGCAUUUUCAAAAGCUGAUGCUACUUGUGCAUAUUCCAUAUUUGCUGAGCGCUUACUGUGUCCCCAUUAAGUGCCAGGCACAGUUUUCAGCACUGCUUUAAAGUGUCUACAAGCUUAGAAAGGGCAUAGGCAUCUCUUGAAAUCCAGUGUUCUAGGGAAAGUUUUUCCUGUGGUUUUGCACAGAACCCACCGCUUCCUGUCCAAGGUGACAGCUUUAGCUGGGAGAGAAAUUAAAAAUGCCUCCUUGGAAUAGCUAUCUGAUGUGUCUAAAUAUGAUUGCUGAUGUUAGCAAUAGGACCUGCCUAUUAGCAAUGGUUUGGGCAACUGUAUGUGUGAGGCAGGGAGAGAAAGAGGAAGAAAAUACAGCUCUCACUAUUGUUUCCAAAUGGCAAGACUGGUUUUCCUGCUACCUACUAACCAGUGUAGUUAUUAGUGUUACAUAUCACCUCUGCAUCUUAUUUAUGUAAUAUUCCAAGAAGCUAAAAAAAAAAACCUCUUUUUUUUUUUUUUUUUACAAAUCUUAGAUUUUAUGAACACUUGCUAAUAGCCCCCCCCUCCUAGAUCGUCAUUGCUGUGUAACAAAUUGUCAUACAUUUAGCAGUUUAAAAUACCACACAUUUACUCACAGCUUCCAUGGGCCACGAGUGUGGGGACGAGUGACUGGGUCGUCUGCUCAGGGUCUCUUACAAGACUCCAUCAGCGUUUCAGCUGGGGCUGGGGUCUCAUCUGAGGCUCAGGGUCCUCACUCCAGGUCACAGGGCAGAAUUCAUUUCUUUCAAGCUACGGAUCUCAUGGCAGCUUGCUUUUUCAAGGCCAGCAAGGGAGAGAGUGAAUCUGCUGCUUUUAGUGUCUGACCUCUCGAUCUUCUUUUAAAUGGCUCAUCUGAUUAGGGCAGACCCACCCAGGAUAAUCUCUCUUUUGACUAACUUACAGUCAACUCAUUAGAGAUCCUAAUUACAUCUGCAAAAAUCCCCUCACCUUUGCCUGAUAAUGUGACAUCAUCACGGGGGCAAUAUCCCAUCACUUUUGCCAUAUACUAUUGGCUAGAAGCAAAUUAAGGUCCUGCUACCACUCAAGGGGAGGGGAUUACACAAGGGCAUGGGACAUCAGGGGUCAUCUUAGAAUUCUGGCAACCAGAAUAAGCUACUUGUGGAUAGACAUGUUGUCAUACAUAUUUUUUGUUCAGUCAUUAUGCUUAGCAGAGAAAUAGGCACACAGCAGAAAAAUAACUGAUUGGUACGGAGAAUUUAGUGAUUGGAAACGAAUUAAUAUUGUUAAGACACAAAGUUUCUUGCAGAGCACACUCUGAAAAAGGUCACUUUUUACCCCUCAAUAUGUCUUAAUGGGUUGAGGUAGAGAGAAGCGUGGGUAGGUAUCAAUCACGAGAGCACACAGGCUAAAAGAAAGAAAAAAUGAGCUGGGACAUCUAAGUUCAACUUCCACUUCCUCCUAUACAAGCUGGGUGACCUUUUCCUAUCUAGAAAGUGGGAGAAGUAGUUCCUGUCCUCCCUUACAGGGCUGCUGAGCAGGCAGAAUGAGAUGAUGGGCUGAGAGGGCUUGGAGAGGACAAACUGUGGGUACAAAAGUCUUAUUGUCCUGGCCCGGAUUGCUAAGGAGAUGGUGGUUAAUAAUAUGCUGCUAUCUCAUGAGGUAAAUGCGUGAUCACAUAGCCAAGAGAUGCCUUUUUGUUCUAAUGAUCACUGUAAGACCUUCUUGAGAGACAGUCCAAGUCUCUCCAGCACAAUGGAAAAUUGCAUUUUCUAUGCACACAUUCGAGGGGAAAGAGACCCCUCCAACGUUCUUCUCAGUUUUACCCCAAAGUUGAGUUCUGGGUCAAAAAUCUCUCAAGCGUCCUCCACAGCUGACUUCCACAGUCCCCUGUGUGUCUCUGCAAGGAACACAAAGGAAGUGAGAUAGUGGGAAGUCUGGGGCCAUCUUCGGUCACGUGAGAAUUCCCUCUCAGUUAGCCGGGGCGUGCAGCCGCACAGAAGGAAGGCAGCCACGCAGCUCCAGUCCAGGCUGGGAGAGAGCUUUGUAGAUCCAUCUCCCACUGAGCAGGCUUCCCUCCUGCAAGGAGAGACUCUACCGAUAAUGUGUUAAGAUCAGAUUAAUGCAGGAAAUACACAUGAAAUAAAUAAUAACAGUGUAAUAACAGUGGCUGUCAUUGCAAUGGUUAUUUCUGUUAAAAAUGUGAGAUCUACACUACGGAUUUCUUAGGAUAAUUUUGCCCUUACUUAAAAGAAACUGACAGAUGUACUUUAUAAAAAUGAAAAUAAUUUAACAAAUAAAGAAUUGGAGAAUAUUGACUCACCACUCAUUUUCCUUGUUUAAUCAUUGCCUUUUUUUUUUUUUUAACUUAGAAACAGCAAUUAAGUUUGUUUUUGUUUUUUUAAAAAAACAGUUAGGGAAAUUCUACCCUCCCCAUGUCCUACCCUCUCCUCAGUUCCCUCCAAGCUGCCAUUAUCGACAAGGCUAUGCUUGGGUUCUAAAUUCUCCAGGAAACAACAUUAUUUAAAUGUCACACUGGGGCUGUUGUCGUGAAAAGAUAACAAGGGUUUAAAAUGAUACGGAAGCCAGCUCGGUUUAUGAUUUGCACACCUCAAAGCUUUAGGUUAAUGGAGACAUCCCAACACCGCUAUCCCACGGUGAUGUUGCUGACUCUUCAGAAAGAACAUUCACUUAAGAGAGAGAGAAACUGCAUUCUUUCUCUUGUAUUCUUGCAUCAAGUUAAACAUGCAUUCUAGAACAUGAAGCAGUUUGAGAAAACCACCUUGCUUUUGAGUCACACAUCUGAUAUUUUUGCAUUUGAGAUGCUUAACAUACAACUUAUAUGAGACAGGGACU
rnacentral:lncRNA from 10 species